UAACUUAAAGUUUUUUCUUAAAGAAAAAAUUUUUCGUAAAAUGACUGAAAACAGAUUCACCAAUUUUUUGAGAUUUUUCCAAAAAAGCAAUCCAAAAUUAAGUCCGUUGCAAAUUAUUAAAUGUGGAGGGGAGAUUUGGGUUCAUUUAAACGAGAGUGAGAAGGAAGAGUUCUCUCCACAUAGGCCUCGUGUUAUAGACAGCGUAGACUUAUUAGACGUAUUUCUUCCCGUAGAGAAGCUAAAACUGACAAAACAAGGAAGAAAACGUAAACCAGCAAAAAGGAAGGGAGCGGUUAACAAACGUCGCGCUAAGAAAAAGAAAGCAGGCCGUCGUGGAGGACAACUCAAGAAAAGGAAAAACAAGCGUGCAAAGAAAGGUGGCAAGAACCAUGGAAAAAAGAAGGGGAAAAAACAUUGAAUUGUUUUCCACACUUAUGGUGUUACGAGGACGGUAUCCAUCUUAUCGACAACUUAAAGUCGUAAAUAAAUUUUUUCAUCUUAUAUCAAAAAAUACUUGUUGGAUUAUUAGUGUACACAAUAAUGUAUACGGACGGAAAUAAUCUACCAUAUAACUGCACCAAAACUCAAAUUUUUCAGAAAUCAACAAAAAUGAAAUCAUGAAAUUUCUGAAGAUGCCAUGAAGCCUGCCACUCCACCUUUAAUUAUUAUUCUGGACAUAUACACCUUUUAGAACUUUGGUUAACAGUUGAAAUAAAUAUAUUUAGUUAGUACUG